AUGGCUCAGUGGCUAGUGCUUCAGACUGUAAAUCAGGAAGUGUGGGUUCGAUUCCCCUU
rnacentral:tRNA from 1 species